UACGAAGGGGGCUAGCGUUGUUCGGAAUUACUGGGCGUAAAGCGUGCGCAGGCGGCUUCUCAAGUCAGGGGUGAAAGCCCAGAGCUCAACUCUGGAAUUGCCUUUGAGACUGAGUGGCUUGAGUACGAGAGAGGUGAGUGGAAUUCCCAGUGUAGAGGUGAAAUUCGUAGAUAUUGGGAAGAACACCGGUGGCGAAGGCGACCGCCUGGACGAAGAUUGACGCUGAGGCGCGAGAGCGUGGGGAGCAAACAGG
rnacentral:rRNA from 1 species